GACGAACGCUGGCGGCGCGCCUAACACAUGCAAGUCGAACGAGCGAGAGAGAGCUUGCUUUCUCAAGCGAGUGGCGAACGGGUGAGUAACGCGUGAGGAACCUGCCUCAAAGAGGGGGACAACAGUUGGAAACGACUGCUAAUACCGCAUAAGCCCACGACCCGGCAGCGGGGAGAGGGAAAAGGAGCAGUCCGGUUUGAGAUGGCCUCGCGUCCGAUUAGGUGGUUGGUGAGGUAACGGCCCACCAAGGCGACGGUCGGGAGCCGGGCGGGGGGGUUGACACGCCACAUUUGGACUGAGACACGGCCCAGACUCCUACGCGGGGCAGCGGUGGGGAAUAUUGCGCGCUGAGGCAAAACCUGAUGACGCGGCGCCGCGUGGAGGAAGAAGGCCUUCGGAUUGUAAACUCCUGUUGUUGAGGAAGAUAAUGACGGUACUCAACAAGGAAGUGCCGGCUAACUACGUG
rnacentral:rRNA from 1 species